rnacentral:tRNA from 1 species
GCCGAAGUGGCGAAAUGGCAUACGCACUUGACUCAAAAUCAAGCGAUGGCGACAUCAUGAGGGUUCGACUCCCUCCUUCGGCACCA